GGAGUUGGCUAGACAGCCGCUGUGGCAACACAGAGGAAAGUCCGGGCUCCAUAGGGCAGGGUGCCAGGUAACGCCUGGACGCCGCGAGGCGAUGGAAAGUGGCACAGAAAAUAUACCGCCGAUGGCCGGCCGCGAGGACGGAUCAGGUAAGGUUGAAAAGGUGCGAUAGCACCUUUCAGUGAAGGCUAAUGCGGCUUGCCGCGUUAUGCCGGAGCUAAAAGGCGCGAACUUCCGCAAGGAAGGUCGGGUCCGCCGAAAGGCGGGUCAGGUAAGAGCUCACCGCGUUCCUGGUAACAGGAAUGGCACGUUAAACCCCACCCGGAGCAAGGCCAAAUAGGCAGGCGUUGAGGCGGCCCGCCGAGCCUGCGGGUAGGCUGCACGAGGCGACGGGCGACCGUCGUCCCAGAUGAAUGGCUGUCCACGACAGAACCCGGCUUACCGGCCGACUCCUUUU
rnacentral:RNase_P_RNA from 7 species